UGGGGAAUUUUGCACAAUGGGGGAAACCCUGAUGCAGCGACGCAGCGUGAUUUAGAAGGCCUUCGGGUUGUACAAAUCUUUUCUAUGGGAAGAAAAUGACAGUACUAUAGGAAUAAGGACCGGCUAAUUACGUGCCAGCAGCCGCGGUAAUACGUAAGGUCCGAGCGUUGUCCGGAAUCAUUGGGCGUAAAGGGUACGUAGGCGGAUAAGCAAGUUAGAAGUGAAAUCCUAUAGCUCAACUAUAGUAAGCUUUAAAAACUGCUCAUCUUAAAGUAUGGAAGGGAAAGUAGAGUUCCUAGUGUAGCGGUGAAAUGCGCAGAUAUUAGGAGGAAUACCGGUAGCGAAGGCGACUUUCUGGCCAUGACCUGACGCUGAGAUACGAUAGCGUAGGUAGCAAACGGG
rnacentral:rRNA from 1 species